AUUGAACGCUGGCGGCAGGCCUAACACAUGCAAGUCGAACGAGUGGCGGACGGGUGAGUAAUGUCUGGGAAACUGCCCGAUGGAGGGGGAUAACUCCUGGAAACGGUAGCUAAUACCGCAUACCAUCGGAUGUGCCCAGAUGGGAUUAGCUAGUAGGUGGGGUAAUGGCUCACCUAGGCGACGAUCCCUAGCUGGUCUGAGAGGAUGACCAGCCACACUGGAACGGAGACACGGUCCAGACUCCUACGGGAGGCAGCAGUGGGGAAUAUUGCAUAAUGGGCGCAAGACUGAUGCAGCCAUGCCGCGUGUAUGAAGAAGGCCUUCGGGUUGGAAAGUACGGUAAGCGAGGAGGCGUUACUCGAAGAAGAAGCACCGGAUAACUCCGUGCCAGCAGCCGCGGUAAUAC
rnacentral:rRNA from 1 species